AAGACGGUGGACGACACCACAAAAGGCAAUCGAAGACCCAGACAAUAAAUACACAAGGUAAUGAGGGUUCCCUUUAAGGAACACAAGGAAUACAGUGAAGGAGGGCAAAACUAAAGCUGAGAAAUCCCAAGAAUGCAAACACAGCAAACCCAAACAGAGAAUACCAACAAGGAGACCAACUCAAAACACUGUGAGCGAUAAUCCCCACAAAAAAUCACCAACUCUGUGUCAAGACCUUGGGACCAUGAUAGUUCUGAAGCUUUUGCUAACACAGGUAUUUUAUCUGAAGUUCAGAAACAUGACCACAUUGGCAUCUUCUCUCACAGAUACCUGCUCUUCCUGUCUUAGGGUUUCCACCUAUGUGCAUAGGAGUGUGGGGACGUCCCAAGCCAAAACCAUAUCGUCACUAGAAAACCUUCUUUUGACUAUAGUUAUCCGUUUCUUACUAAACUAAUUUGUGACAUUUUGAUAUGUGAUCCAGGCCAUCUUGCUUUUUGUAUUUAGAUAUGUGCUGAACACAUAGUGUGGUUUGAUCUUCAGCAUUAUUCUGCUAUUUAGCCAAAUUAAACGCUGCUUUUAUUUGUUCAAGCUACACAAACUGUGUGCACGUCUGUUGUAAAAUGGUACGGCUUCUCAGACAGCAACUAAUAGAAGCAUGUUUACAUUUAGGUUCUUCCAUUUCUCUGAUCCAGCUGAGGUACUAUAUAUCAGGGGAAAGUUGGACAUGGAUGAAUUGUACAAAGAAUACCAUGUAACGGAUCCACACUUGCAGGAAACUGUGGCUAGAAGAAGCUGGGCAACCUUUCUUCAAGGCAGAAACACACCAAGUAUGGCUGCUGUUGUAUGUUUUCUCUUCUGAAAUUCCUGUUACAAGUGCCUUUGUAGAGAGUCUUUCCUUUGUGGGCUGACCAACAGAGCCGGUGUGCUCCUUAUUAACAAAGGAUUGCCACAACAGGAUGAACUCGGAAUCUUUCGCUGGUUAAACCACCAAAUAUGUAAACCAGCUACACUACGGCGCUCUGCACAACUCAAAAAGUGUGAAAUUCAAGUUGAGAGGAACUUUGGAUACAGUUGUAAGAAGUUGUACACCUAUGCACUCCAGGGGAAGGCCUUGUUGGAAUCUGCAUGCUCACCCAAAAAAAGUACAAAGUGAAAAAGAACAUCUAAGCACUUGAACUUCAUUCAUUGACAAACACAAUCGCGGCCGUACCUGAAUGUGCUCCUGCAGCUGGGCCUCAUGCUGGCGGGACAGCUGCUCGUGCUGCCUCUGGAACUCUGCGAUGAGGAUCUGCC